UCGACGGCAGCACGGGUGCUUGCACCUGGUGGCGAGUGGCGAACGGGUGAGUAAUGCGUCGGAACGUACCGAGUAAUGGGGGAUAACGCAGCGAAAGUUGUGCUAAUACCGCAUACGCCCUGAGGGGGAAAGUGGGGGACCGCAAGGCCUCACGUUAUUCGAGCGGCCGACGUCUGAUUAGCUAGUUGGUGGGGUAAAGGCCUACCAAGGCGACGAUCAGUAGCGGGUCUGAGAGGAUGAUCCGCCACACUGGGACUGAGACACGGCCCAGACUCCUACGGGAGGCAGCAGUGGGGAAUUUUGGACAAUGGGGGCAACCCUGAUCCAGCCAUUCCGCGUGAGUGAAGAAGGCCUUCGGGUUGUAAAGCUCUUUCAGCUGGAACGAAACGGUACGCGCUAACAUCGUGUGCUAAUGACGGUACCGGCAGAAGAAGCACCGGCUAACUACGUGCCAGCAGCCGCGGUAAUACGUAGGGUGCGAGCGUUAAUCGGAAUUACUGGGCGUAAAGCGUGCGCAGGCGGUUAUGUAAGUCAGAUGUGAAAUCCCCGGGCUCAACCUGGGAAUGGCAUUUGAGACUGCAUGGCUAGAGUGUGUC
rnacentral:rRNA from 1 species